GACGUAGGGUGCGAGCGUUGUCCGGAUUUACUGGGCGUAAAGGGCUCGUAGGCGGCCAACUAAGUCAGACGUGAAAUCCCCAGGCUCAACCUGGGAACUGCGUCUGAUACUGGAUGGCUUGAAUCCGGGAGAGGGAUGCAGAAUUCCAGGUGUAGCGGUGAAAUGCGUAGAUAUCUGGAGGAAUACCGGUGGCGAAGGCGGCAUCCUGGACCGGCAUUGACGCUGAGGAGCGAAAGCCAGGGGAGCAAACAGG
rnacentral:rRNA from 1 species